rnacentral:rRNA from 1 species
AGUGAACGCUGGCGGUAGGCCUAACACAUGCAAGUCGAACGGCAGCACAGUAAGAGCUUGCUCUUACGGGUGGCGAGUGGCGGACGGGUGAGGAAUACAUCGGAAUCUACUUUUUCGUGGGGGAUAACGUAGGGAAACUUACGCUAAUACCGCAUACGACCUACGGGUGAAAGCAGGGGAUCUUCGGACCUUGCGCGAUUGAAUGAGCCGAUGUCGGAUUAGCUAGUUGGCGGGGUAAAGGCCCACCAAGGCGACGAUCCGUAGCUGGUCUGAGUGGAUGAUCGGCCACACUGGAACUGAGACACGGUCCAGACUCCUACGGGAGGCAGCAGUGGGGAAUAUUGGACAAUGGGCGCAAGCCUGAUCCAGCCAUACCGCGUGGGUGAAGAAGGCCUUCGGGUUGUAAAGCCCUUUUGUUGGGAAAGAAAAGCAGCAGGUUAAUACCCCGCUGUUCUGACGGUACCCAAAGAAUAAGCACCGGCUAACUUCGUG